UAAGGAAUAUUGGGCAAUGGAGGAAACUCUGACCCAGCAACGCCGCGUGAAGGAAGAAGGUCUUCGGAUUGUAAACUUCUGUUAUUAGGGAAGAAGAUAGUGACGGUACCUAAUGAGUAAGCCCCGGCUAACUACGUGCCAGCAGCCGCGGUAAUACGUAGGGGGCAAGCGUUGUCCGGAUUGACUGGGCGUAAAGGGAGCGUAGGCGGUUUGGUAAGUCAAAUGUGAAAGCCCGUAGCUUAACUACGGAAUUGCAUUUGAUACUGCUAGACUUGAGUUCAGGAGAGGUAAGUAGAAUUCCUAGUGUAGCGGUGGAAUGCGUAGAUAUUAGGAGGAAUACCAGUGGCGAAGGCGGCUUGCUGGAAUGACACUGACGCUGAGGCUCGAAAGCGUGGGGAGCAAACAGG
rnacentral:rRNA from 1 species